GGGUGCGUAACGCGUAUGCAAUCUACCUUUUACAGAGGGAUGGCCAGAGAAAUUUGGAUUAAUACCUCAUAGUAUUAUUGAAUGGCAUCAUUUAAUAAUUAAAGUUCCAACGGUAAAAGAUGAGCAUGCGUCCCAUUAGCUAGAUGGUAAGGUAACGGCUUACCAUGGCGACGAUGGGUAGGGGUCCUGAGAGGGAGAUCCCCCACACUAGUACUGAGACACGGACCAGACUCCUACGGGAGGCAGCAGUGAGGAAUAUUGGUCAAUGGGCGCAAGCCUGAACCAGCCAUGCCGCGUGCAGGAUGACGGUCCUAUGGAUUGUAAACUGCUUUUGUACAGGAAGAAACAGUUCUACGUGUAGAACCUUGACGGUACUGUAAGAAUAAGGAUCGGUAACUCCGUGCCAGCAGCCGCGG
rnacentral:rRNA from 1 species